rnacentral:tRNA from 1 species
GCCUGGGUGGCUCAGCGGUUGAGCGUCUACCUUCGCCUCAGUCCGUGAUCCUGGAGACGUGGGAUUGAGUCCCACAUCAGGCU